rnacentral:rRNA from 1 species
AUACGGGGGGUGCAAGCGUUAAUCGGAAUUACUGGGCGUAAAGCGCGCGUAGGCGGUUUGCUCAGUCGGAUGUGAAAGCCCAGGGCUCAACCUUGGAACUGCAUACGAUACUGGCAAACUAGAGUGGGAGAGAGGAUAGUGGAAUUUCCGGUGUAGCGGUGAAAUGCGUAGAUAUCGGAAGGAACAUCAGUGGCGAAGGCGACUGUCUGGCUCAACACUGACGCUGAGGUGCGAAAGCGUGGGUAGCAAACAGGAUUAGAAACCCUAGUAGUCC